AAGUGGCUGAUAAAGUUCGCAAUUUCACUGACUUUUAAUCAGUAGGUCCAGGGUUCGAAUCCCUGCGCGCUCACCA
rnacentral:tRNA from 1 species